ensembl:lncRNA
UAGCCCUAACAACAAAGUGCUAACGCCUAGCCUAGCUCCUAUAGGCCCAGUGCAAAAUGUAUUUGGUUCAUUUGAUUGUUUAAUACAGUUAUUGUGUUGUAUUUGGUUCAUUCGGUGUGUUAGUGUUUCUGAGUCUCUUAGGGAAGCUGAAGUUAGUUCUCCUCUUCACAAAUCAGUCAGUUAAAACGGCCUCAUUCUAUAGGUUGUAAGGUAAUAAGCUGCCAUCUUAGAACCACUGAUAAGCUGCUGAAGCAGCAGGGUCGGUAACUUCAAAGGAGCCAUUUUACCGCCUCUGACAGAAGGCCGGGAGAAAAAGAGUAACGUGCCUGUGCCGAGUGAACGAGAUCUUUGGUUUUGCCUUUGCUGACUGCUGAUCUGAUCGUCUCAAGUCUGGUGACCUGCUGCAGAAAACCCUCUCCCUCUAUCAUUAACAAGCAAUUCAGUCUGUCCUAUCACUCUCCCUCUCCCUGCUCCAUCUUUUUUGACAAGCCAUUCUAUCUUCUAUCAUUUCUCCGCCAUGAGCUCUAUCUAAGUUGACAAGCUUGAACCUGAGUUGAAACGCAAUCCUGUGACUUGAAAUCAAGUUUUACCAGAAUCUAAGUUUUUGAAUUGAAGUUACCAGAACUUCGUCAAUCUGUUUUCAGAAUUCUGAGAGAUCUCCGCUCUCACUGCUCCAUCUUUCCUGUCGUUAAACUCUCUCACAUCCAGUCAUUUUGCUGGAAAUUACAAGUAAAAAGUUGAAUAUACAGUAAUAGAAUUACAGUACAGUAGAACUCACUGUAGAAACUACUUACAGAGCCCUACAUUUGUCAUUUUAAUUUUUACAUUACACUUUGGAAUAAACACUGAUAGUUUGGCUUACGGGUGCUGUUACUUUGAUAAAUUAUAUAAAAUACACACCUUUUUCAAGGUUUAUUUGUAAUAAGAUAAUCUGGUUAUUUUGUAAUACAUACAUUCAGACUUAUAUUCACAUAAAUAAUAAAUUGGAUCCAAAUAUAUUUUUCAAGUCUGUUUCAUUGGCUAUAACAUUUGACUACAAGUUUAUACUAUUAUUAUUUAAGGACAAACCCUUUUUUGUCACUCAGUGUAAGUAUUCAGUUACAGUUGUCAUCUAGAGGCUGCCCUGAGAACCCAGACUUCCUGUUUCCUGACUGCUGCAGAACGUCCAGCUGAAGAAUCCCCAUAGCCUGUCAUCUGAUCACCACACCAUCAC